rnacentral:rRNA from 1 species
AGGACGAACGCUGGCGGCGUGCUUAACACAUGCAAGUCGAACGGAAAGGCCCGCUUGCGGGUACUCGAGUGGCGAACGGGUGAGUAACACGUGGGCAACCUGCCCUCAGCUCUGGGAUAACUCCGGGAAACCGGUGCUAAUACUGGAUAUCGACUUCUGCCUCGCAUGGGGUGUUGUUGAAAGUUUUUCGGCUGGGGAUGGGCCCGCGGCCUAUCAGCUUGUUGGUGGGGUGAUGGCCUACCAAGGCGACGACGGGUAGCCGGCCUGAGAGGGCGACCGGCCACACUGGGACUGAGACACGGCCCCAGACUCCUACGGGAGGCAGCAGUGGGGAAUAUUGCGCAAUGGGCGGAAGCCUGACGCAGCGACGCCGCGUGAGGGAUGACGGCCUUCGGGUUGUAAACCUCUUCAGCUCUGACGAAGCGAGAGUGACGGUAGGAGCAGAAGAAGCACCGGCCAACUACGCGCCGAGCAGCCGCGGU